rnacentral:tRNA from 11 species
GCGUGGCCGAGUGGUUAAGACGCCAGGCUACCAACCUGGUGGUCGUCGCUUCGAGCCC